AGAGUUUGAUCCUGGCUCAGAAUGAACGCUGGCGGCGUGCUUAACACAUGCAAGUCGAACGAGAAAGGGAUUGCUUGCAAUCCUGAGUAGAGUGGCGCACGGGUGAGUAACACGUAGAUAAUCUACCUUCAAUUUUGGGAUAACCAAUCGAAAGGCUGGCUAAUACCGGAUAAAGUUAGUGUAUGAGAAUACAUAAAUGAAAGUAUGCCUCUUCUUGAAAGCAUAUGAUUGGAGAUGAGUCUGCGGACCAUUAGCUAGUUGGUGGGGUAAGAGCCUACCAAGGCUACGAUGGUUAGCUGGUCUGAGAGGAUGAUCAGUCACACUGGAACUGGAACACGGUCCAGACUCCUACGGGAGGCAGCAGUGAGGAAUUUUGCGCAAUGGGGGAAACCCUGACGCAGCAACGCCGCGUGAGUGAAGAAGGCCUUUGGGUCGUAAAGCUCUGCCAACUGGGAAGAAAUUACAAUAAUCUAAUAGGUUAUUAUAUUGACGGUACCAGUGGAGGAAGCGCCGGCUAACUCCGUGCCAGCAGCCGCGGUAAUACGGGGGGCGCAAGCGUUAUUCGGAAUUAUUGGGCGUAAAGGGCGUGUAGGCGGUCUUAUCGGUCAGAUGUGAAAGCCCAGGGCUCAACCCUGGACGUGCAUUUGAAACAGUAAGACUUGAGUACGGUAGAGGAAAGCGGAAUUCCUGGUGUAGAGGUG
rnacentral:rRNA from 1 species